GCGGCCGUCGUCUAGUCUGGUUUAGGACACAGAUGCAUGAGUGCGGUGUAAGCCUUCCAAGCCUGUGAUCCCGGGUUCGAAUCCCGGCGGCCGCACCA
rnacentral:tRNA from 1 species